rnacentral:tRNA from 1 species
GGGUCCGUAGCUCAACGGUAGAGCAGUAGCCUCUUAAGCUAUUGGUUGAGAGUUCGAAUCUCUCCGGACUCA